rnacentral:rRNA from 1 species
AGAGUUUGAUCCUGGCUCAGGAUGAACGCUAGCGGCAGGCUUAACACAUGCAAGUCGAGGGGCAGCGGGGUGUAGCAAUACAUCGCCGGCGACCGGCGCACGGGUGCGUAACACGUAUGGAAUCUGCCCUUUACCGGGGAAUAGCCCGGAGAAAUCCGGAUUAAUGCCCCAUAACAAGCGAGGUGGCAUCACCUUUCUUUGAAAGCUCCGGCGGUAAAGGAUGACCAUGCGCACGAUUGGCUAGUUGGUGAGGUAAUGGCUCACCAAGGCUACGAUCGUUAGGGGGCCUGAGAGGGCUAUCCCCCACACUGGUACUGAGACACGGACCAGACUCCUACGGGAGGCAGCAGUGAGGAAUAUUGCGCAAUGGAGGCAACUCUGACGCAGCCAUGCCGCGUGCAGGAAGAAGGCGCUACGCGUUGUAAACUGCUUUUAUCCGGGAAGAAACCCUCCGACGUGUCGGAGGUUGACGGUACCGGAGGAAUAAGCACCGGCUAACUUCGUGCCAGCAGCCGCGGUAAUACGAAGGGUGCAAGCGUUAUCCGGAUUCAUUGGGUUUAAAGGGUGCGUAGGCGGAGUGUUAAGUCAGUGGUGAAAUCCUGCAGCUCAACUGUAGACUUGCCAUUGAUACUGACGCUCUUGAGUGCGCUUGAAGUGGGCGGAAUGUGCCGUGUAGCGGUGAAAUGCGUAGAUAUGGCACAGAGCACCAAUUGCGAAGGCAGCUCACUAAGGCGAUACUGACGCUGAGGCACGAAAGCGUGGGGAUCGAACAGGAUUAGAUACCCUGGUAGUCCACGCCGUAAACGAUGAUCACUCGUGAUUGGCGAUACACAGUCAGUCACCUAGCGAAAGCGUUAAGUGAUCCACCUGGGGAGUACGAUCGCAAGAUUGAAACUCAAAGGAAUUGACGGGGGCCCGCACAAGCGGUGGAGCAUGUGGUUCAAUUCGAUGAUACGCGAGGAACCUUACCAGGGCUCGAACGCACGACGACAGGGGUGGAAACAUCCUCUUCUUCGGACGGCGUGCGAGGUGCUGCAUGGCUGUCGUCAGCUCGUGCCGUGAGGUGUCGGGUUAAGUCCCAUAACGAGCGCAACCCCUAUCUUUAGUUGCCAGCGGGUAAUGCCGGGGACUCUAGAGAAACUGCCCGCGUAAGCGGUGAGGAAGGUGGGGACGACGUCAAGUCAUCACGGCCCUUACGU